rnacentral:rRNA from 1 species
UGGGGAAUAUUGGACAAUGGGCGAAAGCCUGAUCCAGCCAUGCCGCGUGUGUGAAGAAGGUCUUCGGAUUGUAAAGCACUUUAAGUUGGGAGGAAGGGCAGUAAGCGAAUACCUUGCUGUUUUGACGUUACCGACAGAAUAAGCACCGGCUAACUCUGUGCCAGCAGCCGCGGUAAUACAGAGGGUGCAAGCGUUAAUCGGAAUUACUGGGCGUAAAGCGCGCGUAGGUGGUUCGUUAAGUUGAAUGUGAAAGCCCCGGGCUCAACCUGGGAACUGCAUCCAAAACGGGCGAGCUAGGGUAGGGCAGAGGGUGGUGGAAUUUCCUGUGUAGCGGUGAAAUGCGUAGAUAUAGGAAGGAACACAGUGGCGAAGGCGACCACCUGGGCUCAUACUGACACUGAGGUGCGAAAGCGUGGGGAGCAAACAGG